CAAGUCGAGCGGCAGCGCGGGGGCAACCCUGGCGGCGAGCGGCGGACGGGUGAGUAAUACAUCGGAACGUGUCCUUUCGUGGGGGAUAACCAGUCGAAAGACUGGCUAAUACCGCAUGAGAUCUCACGAUGAAAGCGGGGGACCGCAAGGCCUCGCGCGAUUGGAGCGGCCGAUGUCGGAUUAGCUAGUUGGCGGGGUAAAAGCCCACCAAGGCGACGAUCCGUAGCUGGUUUGAGAGAACGACCAGCCACACUGGGACUGAGACACGGCCCAGACUCCUACGGGAGGCAGCAGUGGGGAAUUUUGGACAAUGGGGGCAACCCUGAUCCAGCCAUGCCGCGUGUGUGAAGAAGGCCUUCGGGUUGUAAAGCACUUUCGGCCGGAACGAAAUCGCGCGGGUUAAUAACCCGCGUGGAUGACGGUACCGGAAGAAGAAGCACCGGCUAACUACGUGCCAGCAGCCGCGGUAAUACGUAGGGUGCGAGCGUUAAUCGGAAUUACUGGGCGUAAAGGGUGCGCAGGCGGCGUCGCAAGUCAGGCGUGAAAUCCCCGGGCUUAACCUGGGAAUGGCGCUUGAAACUACGAUGCUGGAGUAUGGCAGAGGAAGGUGGAAUUCCACGUGUAGCGGUGAAAUGCGUAGAGAUGUGGAGGAACACCGAUGGCGAAGGCAGCCUUCUGGGCCAAUACUGACGCUCAUGCACGAAAGCGUGGGGAGCAAACAGGAUUAGAUACCCUGGUAGUCCACGCCCUAAACGAUGAUGACUAGUUGUUGGAGGAGUUAAAUCCUUUAGUAACGCAGCUAACGCGCGAAGUCAUCCGCCUGGGGAGUACGGUCGCAAGAUUAAAACU
rnacentral:rRNA from 1 species